UGUUUCGGCUAGGGGGCCAUCCCGGCUUACCAACCCGAUGCAAACUGCGAAUACCGGAGAAUGUUAUCACGGGAGACACACGGCGGGUGCUAACGUCCGUCGUGAAGAGGGAAACAACCCAGACCGCCAGCUAAGGUCCCAAAGUCAUGGUUAAGUGGGAAACGAUGUGGGAAGGCCCAGACAGCCAGGAUGUUGGCUUAGAAGCAGCCAUCAUUUAAAGAAAGCGUAAUAGCUCACUGGUCGAGUCGGCCUGCGCGGAAGAUGUAACGGGGCUAAACCAUGCACCGAAGCUGCGGCAGCGACGCUUAUGCGUUGUUGGGUAGGGGAGCGUUCUGUAAGCCUGCGAAGGUGGCCUGUGAGGGUUGCUGGAGGUAUCAGAAGUGCGAAUGCUGACAUAAGUAACGAUAAAGCGGGUGAAAAGCCCGCUCGCCGGAAGACCAAGGGUUCCUGUCCAACGUUAAUCGGGGCAGGGUGAGUCGACCCCUAAGGCGAGGCCGAAAGGCGUAGUCGAUGGGAAACGGGUUAAUAUUCCCGUACUUGGUGUUACUGCGAAGGGGGGACGGAG
rnacentral:rRNA from 1 species